rnacentral:rRNA from 1 species
AUUGAACGCUGGCGGCAUGCUUUACACAUGCAAGUCGAACGGUAACAGGCCGCAAGGUGCUGACGAGUGGCGAACGGGUGAGUAAUGCAUCGGAACGUGCCCAGUCGUGGGGGAUAACUACUCGAAAGAGUAGCUAAUACUGCAUACGAUCUAUGGAUGAAAGCGGGGGACCGUAAGGCCUCGCGCGAUUGGAGCGGCCGAUGUCAGAUUAGGUAGUUGGUGGGGUAAAGGCUCACCAAGCCAACGAUCUGUAGCUGGUCUGAGAGGACGACCAGCCACACUGGGACUGAGACACGGCCCAGACUCCUACGGGAGGCAGCAGUGGGGAAUUUUGGACAAUGGGCGCAAGCCUGAUCCAGCAAUGCCGCGUGCAGGAAGAAGGCCUUCGGGUUGUAAGCUGCUUUUGUACGGAACGAAACGGCUCUGGUUAAUACCCGGGGCUAAUGACGGUACCGUAAGAAUAAGCACCGGCUAACUACGUG